UUGAAAUUUGAAAGGAUUCGGAGGGGACCUGCGGAAGGAUCAUUAUUGGUGGGGGCUUCGGCCCUUUGCGUAAUGCAAACCCUCUGCCUAUUUUUAGUAGUAUCUCUGUUUCCUCGGCAGCUUAGUGCUAAACAGCUUUGCCUGUCAAAGGACCCCCAAUAACAACCCUUGUAAUCUCGAUAAUGUUCAGAAAAACUCAAUUUUUACAACUUUCAACAAUGGAUCUCUUGGCUCUGGCAUCGAUGAAGAACGCAGCGAAAUUGCGAUUAAGUAGUGUGAAUUGCAGAAUUCAGUGAAUUCAUUCGAAUCUUUGAACGCACAUUGCGCCCUUUGGUAUUCCUUAGGGCAUGCCUGUUCGAGCGUCAUUUAAAACCUCAAGCACGGCUUAGUGGCAGGACCCUAAGAGGGACCUGCCCGCAGCCCGGCUUGGUGAUGGGCGCCUGUCCCCGCCGUGGUGCGCGGACUCGCCUCAAAUGCAGUUGGCAGCCCCAAUACCUCCUCAAUCGGAUCCGAAGUAGAAUUCGCAGGCCGUGGAUGGUGGUGGCUCUCCAAAGUAGGCAACCCGUAAAGCGUCUCCUCAAUCGGAUCCGAAGUAAAAUUCGCAGGCCGUGGACGGCGGUGGGGUCCUACGAGCAAUUCGCCCUAGAGCAGGGUGACCCAGAUUGACCUCGGAUCAGGUAGGGAUACCCGCUGAACUUAAGCAUAUCAAUAAGCGGAGGAAAAGAAACCAACAGGGAUUGCCCUAGUAACGGCGAGUGAAGCGGCAACAGCUCAAAUUUGAAAUCUGGCCUUCGGGUCCGAGUUGUAAUUUGCAGAGGGCGCUUUGGCAUCGGCUGUGGUCUAAGUUCCUUGGAACAGGACGUCGCAGAGGGUGAGAAUCCCGUUUUGUGGCCGCCAGCCUUUGCCGUGUAAAAGCCCCUUUCGAAGAGUCGAGUUGUUUGGGGAAUGCAGCUUCUAAUUGGGAGGUAAAUUUCUUCUAAAGCUAAAAUAUCUGCCAGAGACCGAUAGCGCACAAGUAGAGUGAUCGAAAGAUGAAAAGCACUUUGGAAAGAGAGUCAAAAAGCACGUGAAAUUGUUGAAAGGGAAGCGCUUGCAGUUAGACAUGCCUUUAGUUGCUCAGCCGGGCUUUGGCCCGGUGCACUCUUCUAUUGGCAGGCCAGCAUCAGUUUGGGSGGUCGGAUAAAGGCCUAUUAAACGUGACUCCCCUCGGGGAGAGCUUAUAGGGUAGGCGUCAUGCGAUCAGCCUGGACUGAGGUCCGCGCAUCGCUAGAUGUGGAAAUUGAAGGCUUUUUUAAACCAAAAAAA
rnacentral:rRNA from 1 species